GCAUCGCUAGCUCAAUUGGUAGAGCAACUGACUCUUAAUCAGUGGGUUCUGGGUUCGAGUCCCAGGCGGUGUA
rfam:Actinobaculum sp. oral taxon 183 str. F0552 genomic scaffold Scaffold1, whole genome shotgun sequence.